AAUUUAUAGGACAAUGAUCUGCUUUCCUUGGAGCCCCACCUUGUGGUCAGGGGGUUCGGAAACCCAUGCAGCAGAAAAUUAUACUAUUAACACCGGGUUAAAGUAAUUUUGAUGUAUGUAUAGUAGAUAUCGACCCCCCCUUCAACUAGUUCGUGUGUCUACUUCUUCAGAUUCCUAAGGAAUGACUUCUUUCUAUAAGUGGAA
rnacentral:misc_RNA from 1 species